rnacentral:rRNA from 1 species
UACAGAGGGGGCAAGCGUUGUUCGGAAUUACUGGGCGUAAAGGGCGCGUAGGUGGCCUUCUAAGUUGAACGUGAAAUCCCUGGGCUCAACCCAGGAACUGCGUCCAAGACUGGGAGGCUUGAAUCCGGGAGAGGGAUGCGGAAUUCCAGGUGUAGCGGUGAAAUGCGUAGAUAUCUGGAGGAACACCGGUGGCGAAGGCGGCAUCCUGGACCGGUACUGACGCUGAGGAGCGAAAGCGUGGGGAGCAAACAGG